CAUUCCAGAACCCUAACUGUUCACCUGACAAGACCUCAGGCAAAGCCCUGGCUCCCUCGGAGGAUCGGGGCUUUCUUGUUUGUAAAACAGGACACGGACUUUAGGAGCUCAGACACGAAUGCAUGCAAAAGCCUUACAGAGGGUUCAGGAGAGGAGACAGGACUUGAGUGUCACUUCCCCUCCUGCUGUCUUGUGGCCCUGCCAUGCACUGUGGCAAGUCUUCUGUUAUCUUCUGCCUGAGAGGCCGUGACUAAGAAGGUUCCAGACUUCCCGUCUAUCAAAGGAUGGAGGGAGAAAGGGCUCCGAAGGAGAAGGAAGAAGAAUAAGGGCAUUGGCCUCAGUCCAGAUGAAAAGACCCAGAUGCAAAAUUAUUUGGGCCACAUAUGUGUUGUUUGCUUAUCAAAUUUUCAACCUUUGAAAAAUCACAAUAUUGGAUGGUGGGAA
ensembl:lncRNA novel transcript, sense intronic to PCSK6